UACGAGGGGGGCAAGCGUUGUUCGGAUUUAUUGGGCGUAAAGGGUGCGUAGGCGGUUUGGCAAGUCUUAUGUGAAAUCUAUGGGCUCAACCCAUAGUCUGCAUGAGAAACUACCGGGCUUGAGUAUUGGAGAGGUGAGUGGAAUUUCCGGUGUAGCGGUGAAAUGCGUAGAUAUCGGAAGGAACACCUGUGGCGAAAGCGGCUCACUGGACAAUAACUGACGCUGAUGCACGAAAGCUAGGGGAGCAAACAGG
rnacentral:rRNA from 1 species